rnacentral:antisense_RNA from 1 species
CUUCACCGACCCCAGCCACAACGGCGAUGGCCGGUCCUGGCCGUAGGCGGCCAGCAAAGCCUGCGCCUC